rnacentral:rRNA from 1 species
UACGGAGGGUGCAAGCGUUAUCCGGAUUCACUGGGUUUAAAGGGUGCGUAGGCGGAUAGGUAAGUCCGUAGUGAAAUCCUGCAGCUUAACUGCAGAACUGCCUUUGAUACUGAAGAUCUUGAGUUCGGGAGAGGUGAGUGGAACUGCGAGUGUAGAGGUGAAAUUCGUAGAUAUUCGUAAGAACACCAGUGGCGAAGGCGGCUCACUGGCCCGGUACUGACGCUGAGGUGCGAAAGCGUGGGGAGCAAACAGGG